AUUGAACACUGGCGGCAUGCCUUACACAUGCAAGUCGAACGGUAACAGGUCUUCGGAUGCUGACGAGUGGCGAACGGGUGAGUAAUACAUCGGAACGUGCCUAGUAGUGGGGGAUAACUACUCAAAAGAGUGGCUAAUACCGCAUGAGAUCUACGGAUGAAAGCAGGGGAUCGCAAGACCUUGUGCUACUAGAGCGGCCGAUGGCAGAUUGGGUAGUUGGUGGGAUAAAAGCUUACCAAGCCGACGAUCUGUAGCUGGUCUGAGAGGACGAUCAGCCACACUGGGACUGAGACACGGCCCAGACUCCUACGGGAGGCAGCAGUGGGGAAUUUUGGACAAUGGGCGAAAGCCUGAUCCAGCAAUGCCGCGUGCAGGAUGAAGGCCUUCGGGUUGUAAACUGCUUUUGUACGGAACGAAAAGCCCCGGGUUAAUACCCUGGGGUCAUGACGGUACCGUAAGAAUAAGCACCGGCUAACUACGUGCCAGCCGCCGCGGUAA
rnacentral:rRNA from 1 species